UUCUUACCAAGAAAUCGGGUGGAGAAAUAUAUAAUAAAUGAAUACAUCCGAACUAAGUCCUUGACAGAACAGAGCAGAAGAAAAUUGGUGAAUAUACUGGCAGCUGAGAUGACGGAGAAGAAUGGCUUUGGCGGAAGGACCAUCUGAUGAAGACAAGUCGGGAGGACCAACUGUUGGACGAGUUACCCAAUUCCAUCCAGAGAUUGUCCUGUCUUGGAAGCGAUGUCACUGAUGAAACAUUCGGCUGACGUGGACAUGGUCAUCAAAAUGAUGAAGCUGACAUUUGCCCAUCGGCAUAACAUGGUCCUGGACCAACAGCAGUCAAGCAACAUUCUAUCUUAUUUUCCUUGUUUUAAAGACAUCAAUGGCUUGGUUGAACAGGAUUUUGUUCUAAUGUUUGGAGAGGAUCAAUCGUGCAAGUUUCUGGAGAAGUGGCCAACCACAUUCAAAAGGAAGAUCUUCCAACAAUGCAGAAAGCUUCCCUCUAUCUUUGAGCUUGAGGAACUCCUGAUCGCAGCUGACCCUCCUGAGGAUGGAGCUGAA